rnacentral:lncRNA from 1 species
GGCGCCUUAUCAAUUGUCAAUCUACCAAGCAACUUGGAAAAAGAAACCACACAUCGAUAUUGUGCCAAUGCCUUCAAACUUCACAGGUUGCCUAUCCCUCGUCCAGGUGAAGUUUUGGGAUUAGUUGGAACUAAUGGUAUUGGAAAGUCAACUGCUUUAAAAAUUUUAGCAGGAAAACAAAAGCCAAACCUUGGAAAGUACGAUGAUCCUCCUGACUGGCAGGAGAUUUUGACUUAUUUCCGUGGAUCUGAAUUACAAAAUUACUUUACAAAGAUUCUAGAAGAUGACCUAAAAGCCAUCAUCAAACCUCAAUAUGUAGACCAGAUUCCUAAGGCUGCAAAGGGGACAGUGGGAUCUAUUUUGGACCGAAAAGAUGAAACAAAGACACAGGCAAUUGUAUGUCAGCAGCUUGUUUCAUGUUUGAUGAGCCUUCUAGUUACCUAGAUGUCAAGCAGCGUUUAAAGGCUGCUAUUACUAUACGAUCUCUAAUAAAUCCAGAUAGAUAUAUCAUUGUGGUGGAACAUGAUCUAAGUGUAUUAGACUAUCUCUCCGACUUCAUCUGCUGUUUAUAUGGUGUACCAAGCGCCUAUGGAGUUGUCACUAUGCCUUUUAGUGUAAGAGAAGG